AAACUUUUCCAAAACAAAAAUAGAAAAAAAAACAAAUAAUUAUUCCUUAUCAAAUCUCAAUUAAGCACUCGUCCAUUUUUUCAACUAUAAAUAGGAGAAGAAGUUAUGAGAAGGGGGACACAAUUUGAAAAAAAAAGAGUUCCAGUAAAGAGAAUAAAAAACUGCAGCAACAUCACAACUAUUGAGUCCCUAAAAAAAUAAAAUAAGUUAAAGGAGGAGCCGAGAAAUAAGAAAGUCAAGAAGCAAAGAUCUGCAGAAACACAUUCACCGCAUCACCGGAAAACCGUA
rnacentral:lncRNA from 1 species